CCACGCUGGUUCUAUAUGAUAUCAGCUGAUAAAUGGGUGAAAGCAUUCUAGGCAUCAUAUGGCGUCCUCCCGGGAAAAUGGAUUCUUCAAUAAACAAGAACGAGAUGAGGUUUCUGGUGAACACCUUCCCUAUGGAAUUGCCUCAUACCAAGACGAUUUCGUGUAGCCUUGAACAACAAAGCUUGUUCGUCUUCCUUUGAUUCAAUUCGCCUCUCCCAUAAAAUAUUUUCUUUAAACGUCGAUUAACACCCACCCAGUUGUCGUUGUAAGCAGUGAUAUCAGGAAGCGGUGUGGGGUUGAAGAAUCGAGGGAGAGCUGAUUGUCAUAAAAUCUGUAGAUAAGGCUUAGUUAGACACUUGUUGUGCAGCGCUCUGUUUCCAUGGCCGCCCUCAACUUCCUCCAUAAAUGCAAAACCAUCCUCAACUCCAACGCUUUACUCCCUUCUUACGUCUGCUUGUCCUCUUCUUCCUUCUCCCUCUUAUUUAUUGUUAUAGUUGAGUGGGAAGUAAGCAUUCUAGCUAAGAGUUAGGGUGUACAGAUGGUAAGUAACGGGUUAAAAUAGAUAAUAUCUGCUAGCAAUGGGUUUUGGCUGUUACAUAUGAUAACAGAGUCAGACAUCAGGUCAUGUACUAGUGAAGACACCGACCUCCAAAAGAGUGGAUGGUAAGAUCUCAUAUCGGUUGAAGAGAAAAAGAUAGCAUUUCAUAUAAAGGCGUGUAAAUCUCUAUCUAAAAAAUGUAUUUUAAAAUUGUAAGAUUGACCGCAAACGUAUGUUGGUAUGGUUUUAUUCAUGGCGGGGCGAAUGGAGUUCAAAAAAGGGAGUAAUGUCCCAUUCAAUUCAAACAUUCACAUGAAGGCACCGCCCCCAUUGUUGUCUUUUCUUUUUUGUAUUUAUUUAUUCCUAUUCAUAAUAAGAAUUCCCAUGUGCCCUCGUAUUUAAU